rnacentral:rRNA from 1 species
UGGGGAAUAUUGCACAAUGGGCGAAAGCCUGAUGCAGCAACGCCGCGUGAGGGGUGACGGCCUUCGGGUUGUAAACCUCUUUUAGUAGGGAAGAAGCGAAAGUGACGGUACCUGCAGAAAAAGCACCGGCUAACUACGUGCCAGCAGCCGCGGUAAUACGUAGGGUGCAAGCGUUGUCCGGAAUUAUUGGGCGUAAAGAGCUCGUAGGCGGUUUGUCGCGUCUGCUGUGAAAUCCCGGGGCUCAACCUCGGGUCUGCAGGGGGUACGGGCAGACUAGAGUGGGGUAGGGGAGAGGGGAAGUCCUGGUGUAGCGGUGGAAUGCGCAGAUAUCAGGAGGAACACCGAUGGCGAAGGCAGAUCUCUGGGCCAUUACUGACGCUGAGGAGCGAAAGCAUGGGGAGCGAACAG